AGUGGUGUUAUGAGUUCAGAGGAAGGAGGAAAUCUCAGUUGAUCAAAGAAUAUGUUUAUCUCAUUGGGCAAUGAAAGUAAUGGAAACUCCCUGAGGGGUGAAACCGAAGACCGUAUGCAAGGAUCGGAGCGAAAUGGGGUAACAAGGAACUGAAAAGGGAUACGGCUGGGGCAGAACUGUAGGAAGCUUUGAGUGGCACGCCAAAGAAUUUAGCCUGCCAGUGAUCAUGGUUAGAGGUUCAGCACACCAUAUGAAGCUUCAUCCUUUGAAUGCUACCUGCCCUACAAGCAGACAGAACCACUGGGCACAUACACGCUGUGAUUGGCAACUCUGACAGACAUAUAUACAACUCACAUCUAUUUCUGGAGUUGUCAGACGUGGUAGAGAAUGGUGAAACAACAGGAGUCACUGGACCUCAGUGGAUAUCUUGCUAUUUACUGUGACUCCAAGGCAGCGACUAAACUUUUCAGAGCCUAAAGUUAUCAGCAAUGUGCAUGUAAAUGAAAAAUGUCUACCCUCUCUGCCUCAGGGUGACUUAGAAAUUCAUAAGAAAUCUUGUUUGUGAAAAGCUCUUUGAAAUAAUCUACCAAGUGCUGUACAAAUGUGAGACAUGCUAAUCCCUUUGGGUUAAACCAUUAAAUCUCCAGACAACUCUAUUUAAAUGCAAAUAUGUCGUAUAAGAAGGCAUAACAUUAGCACAUAUAUUAGAAUUUUAGCUAUGCAUUAGGGUACAUGGUUUUUUCACAAAAAUCUGACACUGAAGAAAUGGGGAAAGUGGUCAUUACAUUUUAAUGUCAUUGGGGAGGAAGCUGGGGAGGAAGCAGAACUUCUACCUUCUUUGGGUCUCCUAGGCUUGAAAAUUAAAUGGAAAGAAACAAACUCAUAGAUACAGAGAACAAACUGGUGGCUGCUGAUGUAUGUAAAGGAGGCUGGGGGCCAGGUGAAAAGGGUGAAAGUGAUUAAGAAAUCCAAAUGGCUGGUUGUUAAAAUAUUAGGGGGAUAUAAAGUACAGCAUAGGGAAUAUCAUUAAUAACACUGUAAUAACUAUACAUGGUGUUAGGUACUAGACUGAUAGGGGUGAUCACUUUAUAAGGCAUAUAAAUAUCUAAUGACUAUGUUGAACACCUGAAACUAAUAUAGCAUUGUAUGUCAACUGUAAUUAAAAAAUAAAAAAAGAUUGAUAGAAGAAAAACACAGAUUGUAUUUAAUAUAAGUUUCAUGUGCUAUGGGAACCCCUAUAAGGAAAUGAAGACCCACAAAAGUGGCAAGACCUAAAUGCUUUUACACUAUGUUGAACAGAGAGACAAAGAGGUGGUAAAAAAGUAAUUAAAAUAUAAGGGGAGGCUAGAGAAAGAUGAGAGUAUUUAACAAACUCUGCACAACAUUCUCAGCCUCAGGUCCCCACCUCUGGUGAGAAGAAUGUUUUCUUCUUCGAGGUAUAGGGAGGCCAUCUUUCACAUGGAAGUUUUCUCUCCUGCUUUUAGGACAAAAAGGGAAAGGCAGAGCAUUCUUCUUAUACCUGCUUUUUUUUAAGCGAUCAAAAUAAUUUUUAUACCAAUUGACAUAUUUUGAGUUGGUAGACACUGCCACUGUUCAGAGCCAUGAAAAAAGGAGGAGAAAGAGAAUUGGAAAAAUUCAAUGCAGGGGCCUAAAGGUCAGACCUAGGAAACCCACUUAACGUGAGGUCCAAAAACAGACCCGAAAGGGCCUGAAAGCCCACAUGCUUACUUUAAACUAUUGUCUACACCUGGUCCUGAUUUCUCAGGGGGGAAAAUGUAUGUCAAGACAUGUGUUUUUUUCUUUUCCUAGAGGCAAAGAAUGAAGGGACUAGUGGAAUAGUAGACGUAGCUGAACAACCUAUUACAACUUCUUUGUGUAUGUGUGUGUAUCUGUGUGUGUGUGUGUGUGUGUGUGUGUGUGUACAUAUACCUCCAAAAGGAUGCUAUGUGGAUAUACCUCCAAAAGGAAACAGAAAACAGUAUCCCUAUUAGGUAGACGACGCCAUGGUACAUAUGAAUGCUCUACCACUCUACAUCCUCCUAGGGUCUUAAUUAAGUUUAAAUAUCAUGAGUGGGCAGAGAGAAGAAUUGGGACGUGCUGUAAUUCAGUUUCCACUUUCAACCUUUGCAAUGUUACAGCCUCCCAAUAAAGUGUUAUGGGUUAUGGCAUUGCCAGAAAGAACCUGCGGGUGCCAGCUUUUACAGAUGCUCCAAGGCAUUAAAUCUCCAGAACAUGGAGAAAAGACAGAAGUCAAAUCUGACCCUGCACCUUAUUUGCACAUGCUCAACUUCAUCCUCUCCUCUAGUGGAAAUGAAGUUGAAGAAAGACUCUUACGUGACACUAGAAAAUCAGAGCCUUGGACACCCCCAGAUGAAUAAGGAAGGCCACAGUCUAAGGGAGGAGGCUGCUCUGGUAAAGACACAUUUUUAAUCCCUUACCCAGCUGGGUAUUUGCUGGGUUAAAAGGCAGUCAACUGUGUUGACCCUUGGGGUUUACAUGUGGUUUUCAAUUACAGACACUUUCAUGUUUGGAAUUCCCUGCCCUAAAAAUUGCUGCAGGCUCUCAAAUCUCCUAUGCAGGUUAACUUGUCCAAAUAAAGCCAGCUUCAGCUGAGAGGCAUUAGAACUUCCACUUGCCAUCUAUAAAGACUGCUAAAGGCAACAAGAGCUGUGAGAGGAGUACAAGAAAAUCACAGGAAAAAUAUCUUGUUUCAAUAACAAGUACCUACCUGAACUCCUACUCAGUUACUGUUUCUCAAGGAAGAAAUGAGUUCCAAAUAUGGAUUUAAUUCUGCACAGUCUCAGCACUUGUCUCCAUAUUCCUAGCUGGCAUUUGGCAGCAAGACACAAAGUCAUCUCCUUGGAAUUUAUUUUCUUUCUUUUAAACAUUCAUUAAUUAAUUAAAAUUUUCUGAAAUGUAGAACAUUCCUGUAACAGCAAAUGCAAAGUGUCCAAAAGGAUAUGGAGAGGAAAAACAGGCUUCUGUCUCAUUGUAACCUCCAGCCACUUGUUCUGCUUCUAAAAGCUAUCAUUUUUGGCAGUUUCAGAGAUAAUCUCUAUCUACAAAUACCUGUGGAUUUUCUCUCAUCUUUUCUCUUUGCCCAGAUAAUUGUAUAUUAUAGCAAAAAAGCAAAGUACAAGAGUAUCUAUAUCUAUCUAUCCCUUGUCUCUAUACGGUAACCAUGUUUGUCUUUUAUGUGAGUUAGUUAUGCAUUUCCCUGUUACUUUUAAUGGCUGCAUAGUGUUUGUUUCUGUGGAUAUAGCAUAAUUUAUUUAGUUGAUCCCCUACUCAUAGCCAAUUAUGUUGUUAUGAAUCUCAUAUUAAAACAAUGAGUGUUUUUGUGACAGUAUCAUUUCACUUGUGUAAAAGGAUACACUAGAUAAAUUCCUAGAAGUGGAAUUUCUAGGGAAAAAUAUGCAUCUUCAAUUUUGAUAUAUAUUACUGAAUUUUAAUGGCCUCUAAGAUUUCUUGUUUCCUGAUGUGAUUGAACUUUUUGAUCUUGACAAUGAGAUACGUGCAUAUUAGAAUUUUAAAGUAGUUUAAUUUGCCUUCCUCCAAAAAUAGGUCAAUAUUAAAUGUCUUUGUAUAUGCUUAAAAACUCAUUAUUUCUUUUUCAUUAACUGUUUAUUUUUACCCCUCUUCUUCUGCUGUCUUUUUGGUCAUGUUAUUUCUGUUGUCUUUUUCUUCCACAUUAACUGUUAAAUAUGAUGGGUUUCUUUUCCCCCAAGACUUUUGUCUUUUGUUCAUUUUUAAACUGUGGUUGUUGUCUUCUGCCAAACAGAUUUUUAACAUUUUAUUGUAUUGCCAUAUUAGUAACAUUUUAUAACUUGUAGAUUUUGUGUUAUAUUUAGAAAGUACUUCUCAAGACCAAAUUUAUUUUUAAAUUAUCUAAUGUUAUCUGUACUGCUAUUAUGGUUUUAUGUUCUUUACUUAUACAUUUUACCUAGAAUUUAUUUUCCUACAUAA